rnacentral:rRNA from 1 species
AUUGAACGCUGGCGGCAGGCCUAACACAUGCAAGUCGAACGAGUGGCGGACGGGUGAGUAAUGUCGGGGAAACUGCCCGAUGGAGGGGGAUAACUACUGGAAACGGUAGCUAAUACCGCAUACCAUCGGAUGUGCCCAGAUGGGAUUAGCUGGUAGGUGGGGUAAAGGCUCCCCUAGGCGACGAUCCCUAGCUGGUCUGAGAGGAUGACCAGCAACACUUGACCUGAGAUCCGGUCCAGACUCCUACGGGGGGCAGCAGUGGUGAAUAUUGCACAAUGGGCGCAAGCCUGAUGCAGCCAUGCCGCGUGUAUGAAGAAGGCCUUCGGGUUGUAAAGUACUUUCAGCGGGGAGGCGUUACCCGCAGAAGAAGCACCGGCUAACUCCGUGCCAGCAGCCGCGGUAAUUC